UGUUCUGUGGCUUAGUUGGUUAAAGCGCCGGUCUAGCGAAUACGGAGUCGUGGGUUCGAAUCCCACUGGAACAC
rnacentral:tRNA from 1 species